rnacentral:tRNA from 1 species
AGCGGAUGUCAUAUAACGGUAUUAUCCAAGCUUCCCAAGCUUGUGACGCGGGUUCGACUCCCGUCGUCCGCUA